rnacentral:rRNA from 1 species
GCCCCUAAGGCGAGGCAGAGAUGCGUAGUUGAUGGGAAACAGGUCAAUAUUCCUGUACCGAUGUGUAGUGCGAUGUGGGGACGGAGAAGGUUAACUCAGCCAACUGUUGGAUAUGUUGGUUCAAGCUUGUAGUCGUGCCUGGUAGGUAAAUCCGCCGGGCUUAGAUGAGGGGUGAUAACGAGGCUGCUUGCAGCCGAAGUGAGUGAUACCCUGCUUCCAGGAAAAGCCACUAAGCUUCAGCUAUACACGACCGUGCCGCAAACCGACACUGGUGCGCGAGAUGAGUAUUCUAAGGCGCUUGAGAGAACUCAGGAGAAGGAACUCGGCAAAUUGACACCGUAACUUCGGAAGAAGGUGUACCUUUAGUAGGUGAAGGGAUUUACUCCUGGAGCCCAAUGAGGUUGCAAAAAAUCGGUGGCUGCGACUGUUUAUUAAAAACACAGCACUCUGCAAACACGAAAGUGGACGUAUAGGGUGUGACGCCUGCCCGGUGCUGGAAGAUUAAAUGAUGGGGUGCAAGCUCUUGAUUGAAGUCCCAGUAAACGGCGGCCGUAACAAUAACGGUCCUAAGGUAGCGAAAUUCCUUGUCGGGUAAGUUCCGACCUGCACGAAUGGCGUAACGAUGGCCACACUGUCUCCUCCUGAGACUCAGCGAAGUUGAAAUGUUUGUGAUGAUGCAAUCUCCCCGCGGAAAGACGGAAAGACCCCAUGAACCUUUACUGUAGCUUUGUAUUGGACUUUGAACAGAUCUGUGUAGGAUAGGUGGGAGGCUUUGAAGCAGGGUCGCUAGAUCUUGUGGAGCCAACGUUGAAAUACCACCCUGGUGUGUUUGAGGUUCUAACCUAGGUCCAUUAUCUGGAUCGGGGACAGUGCAUGGUAGGCAGUUUGACUGGGGCGGUCUCCUCCCGAAGCGUAACGGAGGAGUUCGAAGGUACGCUAGUUACGGUCGGACAUCGUGACGAUAGUGCAAUGGCAUAAGCGUGCUUAACUGCGAGACUGACAAGUCGAGCAGAUGCGAAAGCAGGACAUAGUGAUCCGGUGGUUCUGUAUGGAAGGGCCAUCGCUCAACGGAUAAAAGGUACUCUGGGGAUAACAGGCUGAUACCGCCCAAGGGUUCAUAUCGACGGCGGUGUUUGGCACCUCGAUGUCGGCUCAUCUCAUCCUGGGGCUGUAGCCGGUCCCAAGGGUAUGGCUGUUCGCCAUUUAAAGAGGUACGUGAGCUGGGUUUAAAACGUCGUGAGACAGUUUGGUCCCUAUCUUCCGUGGGCGCUGCAGAUUUGAGGAAGCCUGCUCCUAGUACGAGAGGACCGGAGUGGACACACCUCUGGUGUAUCGGUUGUCACGCCAGUGGCAUUGCCGAGUAGCUAAGUGUGGAAGAGAUAACCGCUGAAAGCAUCUAAGCGGGAAACUCGUUUCAAGAUGAGAUCUGCCGGGGCCUUGAGCCCCCUAAAGAGUCGUUCAAGACCAGGACGUUGAUAGGCAGGGUGUGGAAGCGCAGUAAUGCGUUAAGCUAACCUGUACUAAUUGCUCGUGCGGCUUGACCG